ACAUGCCUACAACAUAGAGUUAAUGCACUGGAUCCCAUUAGAACUCCGCAAUUAAGCGUGCUUAGGCUAGAGUAGUAUUGGGAUGGGCGACCGCCCGAGAAAUCCUAGUGUUUUACAUGCC
rfam:Picea glauca, whole genome shotgun sequence.